GGCGGGGGUGCUGCGGGGAAAGCGGGGGACCCGGGACUUCAAGUGUGUAAAAAUGGUGAUACCUUUGGAAAUCCAACAGCAGCUUCAAGAGUCAACUAUACCGGCAAUCCCUAAAGUUGGAGAAUUUAUGCCCAUGGAAAAGUCUGUAGCGUUUCGCAAACCGUGAGGCUGAGGAAUAGAGCUAGUUCCUGCAGCAGAACAAAAUGUGGUCAAAGAAGGAGGAGGAUCAAUGGCCUCUUUUCCUCCCCCGCCUUUUUUUUUUCUUAAAAAACACAAAGAAGCAAAGUAAGAACAUUAAGCCCGAAAGAGAACUGUGUUCGUGGCAGAACUUUCUGAGGUCUGCUUAAGCCAUUUAAAUAAAGAAAUUACACAGUUCUUCUUUGGUAACCUUGAUCCUGAGAGUGAGUGUGACAGGCGUACAGCUUUUUGUUCUCUUCAUUACUCCAGAAGUUGCAGACUGCGCUCAGCAAGACCUCACAACAUGGAGGAAAAUUAAAUUGAUAAAUGGUCCAUGGUGUAUCCCUUUACCUCACCAUAAAUUGACAUCAUUUUAUGCGCAAUCCAGGGAGAAGAAAAAGCAGAUCAGAAGCUUGCAUACCAUCUGAGAGAAGGAAAGGAGCUUUGACAUGUUGCCAUCUGAGGAAUAUAUACUUGGGAUGGGACAGGGAAGCAGGGUAGGAAUGAACAUGAGCACUUAGUCAACAAAUACAUAAAUCUAUUAAGGUUUUUCAAGAAAGAGAGACAAAAUUCAGCAUGGCUCACCAAAAAGAAUGACCAGGUUUGUGUUCCUUAAUUUGUAUUUUAUUGCCCUCUACCCUACACACACACACACACACACACACACACACACACACACACACACACACACACUCUGCAGCCUAUAAUCCCCCCCACUGCCACCCCAUGCCCCUAUCCUGUUGAUCUUUCCUCACUUAAAAAUUAUUGGAAAAGAAUUUAUUCAUUUGGGAGGAUUCCAGGCACUACAUUUAUGUUGAGUUCAGAUGAAAUGGGAUCCAGACUUUUCCAACCGUGCUGUUUCACAGAUAAAACACAAAGGCAGAACUUCAUUAUCUGGAGACACUGCCCUUUCUUUUCUCUCCUGCCUUUUGUUUCUGGGCAAUUUUAAGCUUGUUUGGAAAGCAUUAUAACAGGGGCAGAACUUUUUUUUACCACAUCUAUUUCAGAAGGGUUUUAAUAAUAAUAAAUUUAUUGCUAAACAGAUGGAAGAGUUUUAGUAAAGCUAGAAAAGACACUUUUACUAAUACACCCUAUAGGCUGAUCUCAAUUCUCUCAUUGUUAAGAAUGCUUGGUCUAAGAGAGUCUUAUUCAUGUGCCAAAUGGCUUUAUUAAAACAUUAUAUUAACACAGAAAAAGUCCUAUUACAAUGGCUGUCUCUGUAUGAUCAAAACUUGUCCAUGAUCCUGCUGAUAGCCUAUUUAUUCUGAAAUUUAAAAAGGUAACAUUCCAGUACAGCCCAAUUUUUGGCCAGGUUUUACAAAAUGCAUUAGAAUAUGGCUGGAAGGGUUACUAGUCCUAACAAGGAAAGGCCUAAGUUGUAUCAGGGCAGCAGUCCCCAGACAAAAAGAAAACUGUGAAAAAGAGACCUCUCAUCCACUCAUAGAAAUUAAUCCCUGGCAACAUUGUAAGGUUUUCACCUGUAGAAAUACAAUGGGUCUGUGAUUUCUACUUUAAUUAAUUAAAAAAAAAAAAAA